AUUCUUAUUCAAUUUCCCAAAAGUUUAAACGACAACAAACCAUUUCUUAGGCUAUCAUAUAUAAUUUAAGUCAGAUUUAUUAUAUGCAGAUUUAUUAUUUUUAGAUUUUGUUUUAUUUUAAUUUAUGUGGUACAGUCACCUGAAGAAUGACCCGCUUUCUCCAAUCUGCUAGAAGAUGACCCGCUUUCUCCAAUCUGCUAGAAGAUCUUGGAGUCUUACGCGUUUCUUUCUCCCUUUUCUCGCUUUCCCUUAUCUCUCGCUCAUGUAAUGUUAGAGCGGACUGCUUAACUCGCUCUUCUAGAUUUUUAUUUUCUGAAGUUACCUUUGUAAAUACUUUUCCUCUUAAUUGGGUAACCAAUUAUGGAGUUUCUUUUUAAUUAAUGUAUGGUU
rnacentral:sRNA from 1 species